rnacentral:lncRNA from 1 species
GCGCGCGGCAGCAGGGUUGGGCUCUCGCCGUGAGUCGACGAAGGGAGCGCGGGCGCGCGCCCGCGUCCGCGCACUGAGAGUCGCCUCGGCCGCUCGCUUUCUCGACUCCCGCCUCGCGCCUCGAUCCUGUUCCGCCUCCCUCGGCCCUCCUGCCCGCCCCCACUCGUCGGCCCUCAGCUCAGAGACCUAAUAGGAUGGGGUCUUAGAGAAACAUCUUUUGAGCCACAGACUUCUUUGUUACCAGAAGGAAAAUGAAAGAAGAAAUUUAAAUACCACUUGAAGAGAGGUAAAUAAAUGAGAAAUGGGGCUGAGAGGGCGGGUAUUUUUUUAAAAAUUCAUUAAAUGGAAAAAUCCACAAAUGUUAAUUCUGGUAGAUUUCUUAGAAAUUACAUCAGAGGAGCAUGCUUGGUCUUCCCACCCUCAUUAGGCCUCAGUGACAGGUACUUGAACAACUGAGCCCCUAAUGUGCAUGCUCCCCCACCCCUGAAGCCAGUCUCUGCCCUCCUCUUCCCUCCUCUUGCCCCUGGAAGCUGAUCGCCACCAACUGGCCUCUGGGUGGAUUUGGCCAAUGGAAGCACCUGUAGAGGGAAGAGAGUGAGGUUAGGAUAUUUCUUCCUGCUGUCUCCGUGCUUCCCUGCAGAGAGUGUGAAGAAAUGACCCUGAAAAGCCUCUGGCAGAGGAUUCUUCUUUCAGGAUGGUGUCGCCUCCUCAGCAGCCCAUCCUCCUCCCCUGGACUCAAGCUCUCAUUCCAGUAACACUCCUUCCUCCUUCUCCAUCUUCAGGGGGAGGUUUGCCAGUCGGUGCUGCCCAGUUCAUGAGUGCUGCUGCUGUCCUGCCCAAGUACCCAGCUUGCAGAGUGCCAGAGUUAGAGUCCCAGGGGUGUUCUCCACAGCUGCAUGCUUGAUCCAGGCCUAUCAGAUAUAUUCCAUUGAAAGUCCUCAUUCUCAAAUUUAAAACAAAGACUUUUUGUGUACCUCAAUAGCAAUGCACACACAGUUGGCUUCACAAACAUAUUGUACAUUUCUUUUUUUCAUAUUUAUUCAACAAAUGUAUAUUGACUACCCACCGUGUGACAGGUGUUAUUUGUUGACGGAACCAGGCAUCAUCAGCAAACAAAACUGACAAAGCUUCCUGCCCUCUGUGGAAGGCAUCUGAGGAAGAGACUGGAUUUUGUAGCAACAUGUUAUUCUCAUUAUAAACUUUAUCAUUGGAAUACUAAAGCCAAAUCAUCCCCCAUCUCCUUGAUCAGGAUACCCACUUAAUCUAGGCAGCUACACAAUUGUGAGAGCCUUUGUUUUUUUCUGCUGAAACAUCCUUAAAAAGAUACCUCACAACCCAAGAUUUGGCUUUUCUUAAAUACGAUUUUUAAUUUUUUUCAUUUCUAUCUAGAGAUUUAAUUGGAAAUGGAAAAUCAUCAAUUUUCCAAUUAAAUGUCUGUUCCAAUCAACAUUAUACCUUUUAGGUUGUCAUUGUCAUUUUUAAGUUUAAGCAACUUUAAGGAUUUUGAAUCUGGCUGCCUGUAAAUUAAAGGUGAAAGUAAUCAUUGUGUUGGAUUGGAACAUUUUGUCAAUUGAGAGUGGUUUCCUUGUUCUUAGUGUAUGAAAAGUUUAUUUUUCUAAUGUAGAUUAAUAAAGGAGAUAAAGAAAAACAAAAUGAGUGAUUUAUGUGUGUGAGAAAAGAAC